CUACGGGGUGCUGCAGUGGGGAAUAUUGCACAAUGGAGGAAACUCUGAUGCAGCAACGCCGCGUGGAGGAUGACACUUUUCGGAGCGUAAACUCCUUUUAUAUAGGAAGAUAAUGACGGUACUAUAUGAAUAAGCACCGGCUAACUCCGUGCCAGCAGCCGCGGUAAUACGGAGGGUGCAAGCGUUACUCGGAAUCACUGGGCGUAAAGAGCGUGUAGGCGGAUAGAUAAGUCAGGAGUGAAAUCCUAUGGCUCAACCAUAGAACUGCUCUUGAAACUGUCUAUCUAGAAUAUGGGAGAGGUAGAUGGAAUUUCUGGUGUAGGGGUAAAAUCCGUAGAGAUCAGAAGGAAUACCGAUUGCGAAGGCGAUCUACUGGAACAUUAUUGACGCUGAGACGCGAAAGCGUGGGGAGCAAACAGGAUUAGAUACCCUUGUAGUC
rnacentral:rRNA from 1 species